CUAACUUGUCCAAUGCUCGACCAACGUGUGUGUGUGCGCGCAUAAUCAAUUCAAUCACAUACCUUUUCAAAUUGGACUCAUCCCAACCCUGAAUGGUCAAUUAUUUCUCUCUUCUCUCGUGGGAUGCACCCCCAAACUUUAUUUUGUAACUAUUUUUUCAAAGGUGUGAUUUAUGGUUAAAUUUAUAUACUAUUACUCACCCUCUCUAGUUUUGUUAGAUUUUACUAAUUGUAGCUCAACAUAUCAAUAAAUGAGGAUUCUCCUUAAUUUUGACUGAUUCAACCUCCAAGAAUCAACUAAGCUACUAAUCCCUUAUCAAAUGUCUAAUUCUCUUA
rnacentral:lncRNA from 1 species